rnacentral:rRNA from 19 species
GAAAAGAAACCAACAGGGAUUGCUUAGUAACGGCGAGUGAAGCGGCAACAGCUCAAAUUUGAAAGCUGGCUCCUUCGGAGUCCGCGUUGUAAUUUGUAGAGGAUGAUUCGGCGAGGGCUCCCGCCUAAGUCCCCUGGAACGGGGCGUCAUAGAGGGUGAGAAUCCCGUAUGCGGUGGGUUGCCUUAGCCAUGUGAAUCUCCUUCGACGAGUCGAGUUGUUUGGGAAUGCAGCUCUAAAUGGGAGGUAAAUUUCUUCUAAAGCUAAAUACCGGCCAGAGACCGAUAGCGCACAAGUAGAGUGAUCGAAAGAUGAAAAGCACUUUGGAAAGAGAGUUAAAAAGUACGUGAAAUUGUUGAAAGGGAAGGGCUUGCAACCAGACUUGUCCGCAGUUGCUCAGCCGGUCUCCUGACCGGCGUACUCUCCUGCGGCCAGGCCAGCAUCAGUUCAGGCGGUCGGAUAAAGACCCGGGGAAUGUAGCUCCUCUCGGGGAGUGUUAUAGCCCCGGGUGGAAUGCGGCCAGCUUGGACUGAGGAUCUCGCUUCGGCAAGGAUGCUGGCGUAAUGGUUGUAAGCCGCCCGUCUUGAAACACGGACCAAGGAGUCUAACAUCUAUGCGAGUGUUUGGGUGUCAAACCCAUACGCGUAAUGAAAGUGAACGGAGGUGGGAACCCGCAAGGGCGCACCAUCGGCCGAUCCUGAUGUCUUCGGAUGGAUUUGAGCAAGAGCAUAGCUGUUGGGACCCGAAAGAUGGUGAACUAUGCCUGAAUAGGGUGAAGCCAGAGGAAACUCUGGUGGAGGCUCGCAGCGGUUCUGACGUGCAAAUCGAUCGUCAAAUUUGGGUAUAGGGGCGAAAGACUAAUCGAACCAUUAAGAUAAGUAGUUUGUGCGAAAGCUUUUCGCUACUA